rnacentral:rRNA from 1 species
UACGUAGGUGGCUAGCGUUGUCCGGAUUUACUGGGCGUAAAGAGCGCGCAGGCGGUCGUUCAAGUCGAGUGUGAAAGCCCCCGGCUCAACUGGGGAGGGUCACUCGAUACUGAUCGACUUGAAGGCGGGAGAGGGAAGCGGAAUUCCAGGUGUAGCGGUGAAAUGCGUAGAUAUCUGGAGGAACACCGGUGGCGAAGGCGGCAUCCUGGACCGAGAUUGACGCUGAGGCGCGAAAGCCAGGGGAGCAAACGGG